UACGUAGGGGCCGAGCGUUGUCCGGAGUUACUGGGCGUAAAGCGCGCGCAGGCGGUCGUGCGCGCCCGGCGUGAAAGCCCCCGGCUCAACCGGGGAGGGUCGUCGGGGACGGCACGACUUGAGGGCGGUAGGGGCCGGUGGAAUCCCCGGUGUAGUGGUGAAAUGCGUAGAGAUCGGGGGGAACACCCGUGGCGAAGGCGGCCGGCUGGGCCGACCCUGACGCUGAGGCGCGAAGGCGUGGGGAGCGAACGGG
rnacentral:rRNA from 1 species